CGCUGCGGCGGCUUAAUACAUGCAAGUCGAACGGUAACAGGUGAUAGCAAUAUCAUGCUGACGAGUGGCGCACGGGUGCGUAACACGUAUGCAACCUACCCUUUACUGGGGCAUAACCUUGAGAAAUCGGGGCUAAUAUCCCAUGUGAUUACAAAUAGGCAUCUAUUUAUAAUUAAAGUUACGAUGGUAAAGGAUGGGCAUGCGUCCCAUUAGCUAGUUGGUGAGGUAACGGCUCACCAAGGCGAUGAUGGGUAGGGGUCCUGAGAGGGAUAUCCCCCACACUGGUACUGAGACACGGACCAGACUCCUACGGGAGGCAGCAGUAAGGAAUAUUGGGCAAUGGAGGCAACUCUGACCCAGCCAUGCCGCGUGCAGGAAGACGGCCUUAUGGGUUGUAAACUGCUUUUUUAUGGGAAUAACCACCUUUACGCGUAGAGGUCUGCAAGUACCAUAAGAAUAAGCAUCGGCUAACUCCGUGCCAGCAGCCGCGGUAAUACGGAGGAUGCAAGCGUUAUCCGGAAUCAUUGGGUUUAAAGGGUGCGUAGGCGGAUAAAUAAGUCAGUGGUGAAAUACCCGUGCUCAACAUGGGGGCUGCCAUUGAUACUGUUUAUCUAGAGUUUAGUUGACGUUGGCGGAAUGUGUCAUGUAGCGGUGAAAUGCAUAGAGAUGACACAGAACACCGAUAGCGAAGGCAGCUGACGAAACUAAAACUGACGCUGANGCACGAAAGCGUGGGGAUCAAACAGGAUUAGAUACCCUGGUAGUCCACGCCGUAAACGAUGAUAACUAGCUGUAGGCGAUACACAGUCUGUGGCUNAGCGAAAGC
rnacentral:rRNA from 1 species